rnacentral:rRNA from 1 species
UACAGAGGCCUCGAGCGUUAGGCGGAAUCACUGGGCUUAAAGGGCGCGUAGGCGGGCAACCAAGUCAGGGGUGAAAUCUUUCGGCUUAACCGGAAAACAGCCUCUGAUACUGGUUGUCUCGAGGGAGGUAGGGGCAUGUGGAACUUCCGGUGGAGCGGUGAAAUGCGUUGAUAUCGGAAGGAACGCCGGUGGCGAAAGCGACGUGCUGGACCUCUUCUGACGCUGAGGCGCGAAAGCUAGGGGAGCAAACGGG